rnacentral:rRNA from 1 species
UGGGGAAUUUUCCGCAAUGGGCGAAAGCCUGACGGAGCAAGACCGCGUGAGGGAGGAAGGCCUUUGGGUUGUAAACCUCUUUUCUCAGGGAAGAAGAAAGUGACGGUACCUGAGGAAUCAGCCUCGGCUAACUCCGUGCCAGCAGCCGCGGUAAUACGGAGGAGGCAAGCGUUAUCCGGAAUUAUUGGGCGUAAAGCGUCCGCAGGUGGUUUUUCAAGUCCGCUGUCAAAGACCGGAGCUUAACUCCGGAGAGGCAGUAGAAACUGAGGAACUAGAGACCGGUAGGGGUAGAGGGAAUUCCCAGUGUAGCGGUGAAAUGCGUAGAGAUUGGGAAGAACAUCGGUGGCGAAAGCGCUCUACUGGGCCAUAACUGACACUCAGGGACGAAAGCUAAGGUAGCGAAUGGGAUUAGAUACCCCCGUAGUCC